rnacentral:ncRNA from 1 species
UUCUUCGGGGCGGGGCGUAAUUCCCCACCGGCGGUGUAGAGCAGAACAAGAUUCUGCACAGAAGUCCGCGACCCGCAGUGAUGCGGCUGAACCGGUGUGAUUCCGGUACCGACAGUUAAAGUCUGGAUGAGAGAAGAA